rnacentral:lncRNA from 1 species
GGCUUCACAGGGCGCAUGCGCGGCGUGAGAAGGAAGCAUUCUCCUUGUGCGCAUGCGCAGUGCCGGGCGCGCGAUUGGGAGAGCAGCACGUGCGCGGCGCUGUGGCGCCAGGCUCAAGGAGCUUUACGCAUGCGCACUGCGGGUCCGACAUGGCGGUGCGGGGAGGUGCGAUGCGGGACCGGGACCUGGGAUAUGGGCCUCAUGUCUUAGUGCUGCUCUGCCCGGAGCACUGUGUGCUGUGGGCUGGCUGCAGCAAUAGGCUUUUAUAGGCUGAAUAUAGGAGCUGCUCUGCUUUAGGGCCAUCCCUGCUCCCAGCAUUAACAGGAGCACCGGAUGUGGAUGCGAUCACAUCCCCAUUGCUCCCUGCUGACACAACGUGUUGUUAAUCACUGAGCUCUGACACACAGCGUUCGUUCAGCUACAGAACGGACCUGCUGGGCUGCACAGCUCCGUGCUGCGCUGUGCACACGGACGGGAGGGGCCCCGCUGCUGCUUCCUGCGGGCAGAGCACACAGCAGCUCUUGUUCCAGCUGCAGGGCGGGCGCUCCGGGCCCGAACUAACGGGGCACGUGGUUGAGACCGCAUCCCUGCCCGGGGCUGUGGCCGGGGCUCGCUGUCUGUCCGUGCUGUCUAACCGGAGCUGCCGUAUCAGGACAGGAGGGGAUGGGGGGGUUACAGGAGGGCUGUUCCAUCGCCCCUCUGCGGGGGGGUGCGCACGUGGUGCGGGCGGACCGGUCCAAGUGCGGCGGGGGGAGGCGGCGGUUAGGGGGAGAGUCGGGCCGUACCAAUGCCGGCUGCGUGGGGAGGGUGCGGGGAGCUCCGGCUGCGCAGGGAUGAGAGCGGCGGCUCCUCGCGGCUCGGGGACGGGGCUCAACCCGCAUCUCGUGUGGCGGAAAACGGCUGCGAGGCUGCGCCGCUCGCACGGCACAGACAGACACGGGAUCCCCCCGCGAGGGCACCGAGUGGGCGCUUCCACGCGGGGGGAUUGAGGCGGAGCGGGCCGUACCACUGCCGGUUGCGGGGGUGCGUCGCGCCGUGCCAAUCAGCGCCGUGCGGGCCGUACCACGGGGCAGGGCGGGGGGGGAGCGGCCUGUGCAGUGUGAGCCGUGUGGCGGCGGGGCUGUGCGCUGUGUCCGCCGCUCGGGCCGCACCGGGGGUCGUUCAGCCUCAGCCCCGUCACGGGCCCCGCCGCUCCCCAACGCCGCCGCCGCCCCUUCCUGCCCCCAUCGCGCCCCCCGGCCCGCGGUGUGGGAGGCGCCGGGUCCGCUCGGAAGAACGGCGCCGCGCUCAAUGCCCGGGGUGUUCUGGUGGAAUUCACGUCGCACAUUUAUGGCGAUUCUGA